rnacentral:ncRNA from 1 species
GCGCCCUGAGCCAAAGGCAGGCGCCAAACCGCUGCGCCACCCAGGGAUCCCAAAGUCUGGAUUUUAAACAAAUACCUGCUUCUUUUAAAACAUAUUUAUCGGGAUCCCUGGGUGGCGCAGCGGUUUGGCGCCUGCCUUUGGCUCAG